GCCACUGCUAUUGGGGUUCGGCUAAGCCAUGCGAGUGGAGGGCGUCCCGCAAGGGAUGGCCCCGCAGACGGCUCAGUAACACGUCGUCAACCCACCUUAGGGUGGGGGACAACCUCGGGAAACUGAGGAUAAUCCCCCAUAGGCGGGGGAGGCUGGAAUGCGCCCCCGCUGAAAGCUCAGGCGCCCUAGGACGGGACGCGGCCUAUCAGGUAGUUGGUGGUGUGACG
rnacentral:rRNA from 1 species